rnacentral:rRNA from 1 species
AACGAACGCUGGCGGCAUGCCUAACACAUGCAAGUCGAACGAGACCUUCGGGUCUGGUGGCGCACGGGUGCGUAACGCGUGGGAACCUGCCCUUAGGUUUGGAAUAACGCCCCGAAUGGGGUGCUAAUACCGGAUAAUGUCUUCGGACCAAAGAUUUAUCGCCUUUGGAUGGGCCGGCGUUGGAUUAGCUAGUUGGUAGGGUAAAAGCCUACCAAGGCGACGAUCCAUAGCUGGUCUGAGAGGAUGAUCAGCCACACUGGGACUGAGACACGGCCCAGACUCCUACGGGAGGCAGCAGUGGGGAAUAUUGGACAGUGGGCGAAAGCCUGAUCCAGCAAUGCCGCGUGAGUGAUGAAGGCCUUAGGGUUGUAAAGCUCUUUUACCCGGGAUGAUAAUGACAGUACCGGGAGAAUAAGCACCGGCUAACUCCGUG